UACAGAGGGUGCAAGCGUUGCUCGGAAUCAUUGGGCGUAAAGGGUAGGUAGGUGGUCUCGUUUGUCUGGGGUGAAAGCCCAGGGCUUAACCCUGGAAGUGCCCCAGAAACGGCGAGACUAGAGUACUGGAGAGGGUCGUGGAAUUCCCGGUGUAGCGGUGAAAUGCGUAGAGAUCGGGAGGAACACCAGAGGCGAAGGCGGCGACCUGGACAGUCACUGACACUCAACUACGAAAGCGUGGGGAGCAAACAGG
rnacentral:rRNA from 1 species